rnacentral:rRNA from 1 species
UACGGAGGGUGCGAACGUUGCUCGGAAUCAUUGGGCGUAAAGCGCACGUAGGCGGCGGCGUAAGCGGAAUGUGAAAGCCCAGGGCUCAACCCUGGAAGUGCAUCCCGAACUGUGUCGCUUGAAUCUCGGAGGGGGACAGAGAAUUCCCGGUGUAGAGGUGAAAUUCGUAGAUAUCGGGAGGAAUACCAGUGGCGAAGGCGCUGUCCUGGACGAAGAUUGACGCUGAGGUGCGAAAGCGUGGGGAGCAAACAGG